rnacentral:rRNA from 1 species
AGUGAACGCUGGCGGUAGGCCUAACACAUGCAAGUCGAACGGCAGCACAGUAAGAGCUUGCUCUUACGGGUGGCGAGUGGCGGACGGGUGAGGAAUACAUCGGAAUCUACUUUUUCGUGGGGGAUAACGUAGGGAAACUUACGCUAAUACCGCAUACGACCUACGGGUGAAAGCAGGGGAUCUUCGGACCUUGCGCGAUUGAAUGAGCCGAUGUCGGAUUAGCUAGUUGGCGGGGUAAAGGCCCACCAAGGCGACGAUCCGUAGCUGGUCUGAGAGGAUGAUCAGCCACACUGGAACUGAGACACGGUCCAGACUCCUACGGGAGGCAGCAGUGGGGAAUAUUGGACAAAGGGCGGAAGCCUGAUCCAGCCAUACCGCGUGGGUGAAGAAGGCCUUCGGGUUGUAAAGCCCUUUUGUUGGGAAAGAAAAGCAGCAGGUUAAUACCCCGCUGUUCUGACGGUACCCAAAGAAUAAGCACCGGCUAACUUCGUG